rnacentral:ncRNA from 1 species
AUACAGGCUAUGAUGAGAAGCAGUAUGCUGUUCCCCGCCGGCUCAGAGAGGAGGCCCUUUGGUUGUGAGGUCUCUCUGGCGGUCAGCAGAAGUCGUCUUAGAGCCGCUACGCUGAAUACAGUAGGCGUGGCCGUUGGCGUCGUUACCGCCAUUAAGCGCCCGGUUAGCCGGGAAGCAAGGUGGCACCGCGGAAGAAAAGCUCUUUCGUCCUUAUU